rnacentral:lncRNA from 1 species
AAAAUAUUAACAUAUAAUUUAUAAUAGUGCGAUCAACGUGGUCAUGGUAUUUGAUACACAUAAUAUAACUUGUAAGCAUACAAAAUUACACACAGAUUCGCAUAAAACAGGGGGUUUUAUUUUAUUUUAAUUUUAUCAUGUUUUUGAGAAAACAUGAAAGAAAAAGACCCAAAGAUAUAUAUUUAUUUUUCCUCAGUCAUAAGCACCCCCCAUACUUAGGCUGAAAGUUGAUCCAUCAGCACUUAAACGGAACCGCUGAAACCUUUAUUGUAAGCAUAUUCAAUAAGGGAAUCCAACUCAUCAUUGGUGCAGUCGAUCAAAUUGUCCUUAUUUUUAUCAGCAACGUCCAUGGCCUCUUCGACUUGCUUGUUUGGCGUGAGUGCACCUAGAUGUUGAAAAGCAUCCUUGAGCUGGUCCCUGGUGAGGCUGCCCUGCUUAGAGUAAGAUCGAAACACUUGUUCCAAUUUGUUUUUCUGAUCCUUGUUAUCCUUUGUGGCUUGCAUUGUGGAUUUUGAGGUUUGUGACCGGGUGAUAAUAGAGAGAAGGCUUGCCUAGUUUGGUUUGGUUUUCUUUUCCAAUGCAAUUUGUUUAUAUAGACCCAAAACUCUGAAUACGAUUCUGUUGAAGUGUUGGGGAAUAAAACAUUUUUUGGUGGUGGGUUUUAAAAAUUGAUUUCCAUCUUUUUUAUCAAUAAAAUAAUAAAUCAAUCAAUAAAUUUUAUAAUGAAUACUGAAAAAAAAAAUAUUCCAAGAGGAUUGGUACGAAUAAAAAUAUCAAUGUUAAUUUCUUCUUUUCUUCUGGCGUCAAAUUAACCACAGAUUGGAAAAUGCUAAAUAGCAGCCUCCACUAUCUUGUGUCCAUUUUCCAUUGUUUCAUUUGUUUUAGCCCUCAAUUUGCAGUUUUUAGGUUUUUCUUUUUUUUUUUUGGUUCCCUGAUUAAAUGAUGCAUUUUGGUCCAUUUGGUUUUAAUGAAUUUUCAGAAUUUGGUAGAUCUCGUGAAAGGAGUUCUAGGAAGUACUUUGAUGAGCGUGCUUGUAAAUUGUGAUAAUUAUUGUGUAUGAAUGUUAAGUUAUCCAAAAAUAAAUAAGUUUAGCAUUAGGACUUUCUUUCUUUUAUUGUUUGCCAUAAAUGAUUCUGGAGCAAAGCAAAAUACUGUUAAACUAAUUAUUUGCGUUGUACCACUUCCUGGAAUCAUGGCCGUAGUGGGUUAAAACUGUAUACAUGUUUCUCUCUCAUAUGUUCUUAAUCUCGGUAGGAUAGAAUUAAGUUUGGGCUAUUUCAAUUCCUUUGCACCUUUUUUCCCUUGUACUGUAAUAUUUUCUCAACCACCCUUUUGCAAGGGGAAAGCUGUAAUAUAUUAUAUAUAUAUAUAUAUAUAUAUAUAUAUUUAAAAUUAGAUAAUUUUGUAAAAAAAUUAUAUUGAUGGAAGUGUGUACAUGGUAUUCAGAUUUUAUUUUUUUCAUUUCUUCAUUUUUUAUAAAGCUUUAUUUUUAAAAAGUUCCUAAUAAAAAUUUUUACAAGAAUAAAUCAUCAUUAGUAAUAUUACAUGACAAUUCAAUUUUUUUUCCUUUUUAUUUGUUUUGAUCUUCAUUUUGAUUUUUUCUUUUUUAGUUUUUUUUUCUCCCUUUAUUUUUUAUUGGAUCAAUUGUUUCAGUGAAAAAAACUGACCGGAUGUACCCACAUGGCAUCCUAUUUUAUUUUUUGCCUUUCAUCUUUUUUUUAAUUAGAUAAAUAUUAAAAUAAAAAAAUUAAUAUAUAAAUUUUAUAAGAUAAAAAUCAAUUGAAGUAUAGACAACAAAAUAUCUUGUAUCGUAUAUGUUUCGAUUCCUAUGGAUCAAUCGGUGUGCUUUUUCUUUUUUUUUUUAAUUUAGGAUUGGAAACCAUAAAAAAUAUGAAUUAUUACCAAAUUACAAUAGCAUCAUCUACUAAAAUAAUUUUGUAAGAAACCUUUAUGAAGUAAGAAACGGAAAACUUAUAAUUGAAAAAUGAAUUAAUUAAUAGUAGGAUAGAAAAAUAAUAAAAGAUUACAAUUAGUAAUUUCAUAAUCAAAUAAAUGAAUUUUUUUAAAAUUAAUGUAAAACUAUGUUUUCUAAACCAAAGCAAUGCACAAAUGACACUGCAAAUUGAUCCUUCAUAUAUGCCUUACAAACAUUUUAAUAAAAUUACAAAAAAAAAUUUAACUAUUUCCAAAAAUAAAAUCUUGAUAUAUAUAAUUUUGCUAAAUAAGAUAUUUAAACUUUUGAUAAAUGAAGUUACCUUCAUAAAUGAAAUCUUACUUGAAAUCCUGCAACUAAUUAACUCAUUUUAAUAGUUUAAUUUUCAUUAAAGUGUAAUUUUCUUUUGCUUGCUAAGACCAACAUCAGUAUGUACUUUAAUUUUUUUGUCAAAUAGCUACAGUUUUAUCAAAAUCAUUUUCGUCUAUACUUACAUAUAUGCACGUGCAAAAACAAAUGCAUAAAUGGGUAUAAAAUUAAAAAGAAUUAAGCAUUUAAUUAGAUUCAUAUAUAUAUAUAUAUGUAUAUAUACACACACAUAUAUCUGUAUUCCUCAUAAAUAGGUUGACUUUCAAGUUUUCUCGAAACCUUUUAUCAUGUUUUUAAGUAAUAAAAAUAUUAGGGUAUGGUUCAUAAUAGUACGAUUAACAUGUUCAUGGUAUUUGAUACACACAAUAGAACUUGCAAGGAUGUAAAAUUACACAGAUUUGAAUAAAAACAGGGGAUUUUAUUUUAUUUUAAUUUUAUCAUGUUUUUGAGAUAACAUGAAGGAAAAAGACCCAAAGCUAUAUAUUUAUUUUUCAUCAGUCAUAAGCAUCCCCCAUACUUAGGCUGAAAGUUGAUCCAUCAGCACUCAAACGGAACUGCUGAAGCCUUUAUUGUAAGCAUAUUCAAUAAGGGAAUCCAACUCAUCAUUGGUGCAGUCGAUCAAAUUGUCCUUAUUUUUAUCAGCAACGUCCAUGGCCUCUUCGACUUGCUUGUUUGGCGUGAGUGCACCUAGAUGUUGAAAAGCAUCCUUGAGCUGGUCCCUGGUGAGGCUGCCCUGCUUAGAGUAAGAUCGAAACACUUGUUCCAAUUUGUUUUUCUGAUCCUUGUUAUCCUUUGUGGCUUGCAUUGUGGAUUUUGAGGUUAUGACAGGGUGAUAUUAGAGAGAAGGCUUCCCUAGCUUGGUUUGGUUUUCUUUUUCCAACGCAAUUCGUUUAUAUAGACUCAAAACUUUGAAUACGAUUCUGUUGAAGUAUAGGGGUAUAAAACAUUAUUUGGUGGUGGGUUUUAAUAAUUGAUUUCCGUC